rnacentral:rRNA from 1 species
UACGAAGGGGGCUAGCGUUGCUCGGAAUCACUGGGCGUAAAGCGCACGUAGGCGGCUUCUUAAGUCAGGGGUGAAAUCCUGGAGCUCAACUCCAGAACUGCCUUUGAUACUGAGAGGCUUGAGUCCGGGAGAGGGAUGCGGAAUUCCAGGUGUAGCGGUGAAAUGCGUAGAUAUCUGGAGGAACACCGGUGGCGAAGGCGGCAUCCUGGACCGGCAUUGACGCUGAGGCGCGAAAGCCAGGGGAGCAAACGGG